GAGUGCAUGGCCUAAAGGAUAAGGUGUCUGCUUUUGGAUCAGAAGAUUAAGGGUUCAAGUCCCUUUACAGUUG
rnacentral:tRNA from 1 species